rnacentral:rRNA from 1 species
UGAGGAAUAUUGGUCAAUGGGCGCAAGCCUGAACCAGCCAUCCCGCGUGCAGGAAGACGGCCCUAUGGGUUGUAAACUGCUUUUCCUGGGGGAGAAUUUUUCUGUCGUGACAGGAAUUGACGGUACCCUGGGAAUAAGCAUCGGCUAACUCCGUGCCAGCAGCCGCGGUAUUACGGAGGAUUCGUGCGUUUUCCGGUUUUAUUGGGUUUAAAGGGUGCGUAGGCGGAUUGAUAAGUCAGUGGUGAAAACCUGCAGCUUAACUGUAGACUUGCCGUUGAUACUGUCAGUCUUGAGUGUGGUCAAGGUAGGCGGAAUGUGUAAUGUAGCGGUGAAAUGCUUAGAUAUUACACAGAACACCGAUUGCGAAGGCAGCUUACUGGGCCAUUACUGACGCUGAUGCACGAAAGCGUGGGGA